SRGACAGACGMSCGUGAAUCCGGGCUGGCGAAUUCAUGAUCGAUCGGCUAUUGUCGGUCGGUUUGAUUUUUCGUCAGCCACCGUCGUCGGACGUCGCGACCCGUUUAACGUUGGUGUUUACGCUUACAAGGUACGAAGUGACAGUUCUGGUUUUGGGUCGUCGUCGUUCUUCGGAAUGGUGGUGUACCCAUUUGCUAGAGCCUUCGUAUUCUCGAGCCAACUCGUUCGACGGUAUAAUAAUGGUGUCCGACUCUGGUUUUAUACCAGCAAUCGGUACCGGUCUGCGACGAUUCUUCGGGCCUCUUUCCGACCCGUCUUGAAACACGGACCAAGGAGUCUAACGUGUGCGCGAGUCACGGGGUUUCGCUGACUAUUGCGAUAGUCGGUGUUAUACAAACGAAACCCGAUAAUAAGGCGUAAUGAAAGUAAAAUUACCGUACUUGUGCGGUAAACGGGAAGAUAAUGUCUCGAGCACACCUUCUCGGUAUUACAUGCCGAGACCGAGCGUUCGCAUUCCCGGGGCGUCCUAUUAUUCCGAUGUCCGGUCGAUUCGUCGGCUGGUUGUCGAUCAAGGGCGCACUCUUAGCGUACACGUUGGUACCCGAAAGAUGGUGAACUAUGCCUGGCUAGGAUGAAGUCAGGGGAAACCCUGAUGGAGGUCCGCAGGGAUUCUGACGUGCAAAUCGAUCCUCA
rnacentral:rRNA from 1 species